ensembl:lncRNA
GGACUGCGGUCCCGAGACUGCAGCCUCCGGCAAUGGCAGGAACUCAUGCGAAUACCUUCGGUCCUAAGACUGCAGAAGCAGGAAGGGAUCUAGGAGUGCGGUCCCGAGACUGUAGAAGCAGGAACUCAUGCGAAGACGUGACUGGUCAAAAAAAACGGCGCGUAAUGCCGUGCUCCUCAAACGACGCAUGCGCACUUUAAAAAUAAAUAUCCGUCUAUACCGACAUGCAGACAUAGCGCCGGGAACGUCGUGUCGCGCCCACUGCAUGCGAACUUUUAAUAUACUAUUAAUAGCAAUAUACAGCUCUUUACACGCUGUAAACAUAGUGUUUGUGAUUUAAAUCAAACAUGGACAACGUUGAGGCGAAUAUGUUCAUCAUGCAUAAAGAAAUUUUGACUACCAUAGCCGACAUGGUGCGAUUACACCAGAGUCCCCCUGUACACCAUAGCAUGUUUGGGGGGAUGGGGUCGGGCAGCGGCCCGCACUGGGAAAUUGACCCGGAAGGUGACGACGAGUAUACAACAUACUUGCCCGAUGGCAACGGCUCCUACAUCCGCAUGCCACCCGAAAGAUACAAUAGUCAACUGUACCCAGAGGCGUUCAAACCGAAAAGAACCAACCCCCUUCCUAAGCCACAGUAUACCCCCGCAGACCCCACUCAAGUCCAAAAGCAAGACAAGAAAGUCAAAGCCAAGUCGGAGAAGAAGCGGAUUAAGAAACGGAGACAGAAGGAGAGGAAACGUCUCGAGAAGCUCAAGCGAGAACAGCAAAAGCCAAAGAAGAAUACAGAGGAAAACGGAGAGACGAAGAAGGCCGAUAAGGCAACCAAGGCUCCGGUGUCGGGCGAUCAGAGCUCCUCUGGUGACUCUGACUCCAGCGACUGCAGCGACGACAGCGAGGAAGAGGAGGAGGAGGAGGAGGAGGAGUCGUCCGAGAGCGAAACUGAGGAGGAGGCUGGAAUCUGUUGACCAGGAGUGACUCUGCAGACCCACUCAGCUGUUAUCGUUGUUGUUGUUUCUUAACGAUAGUCUUUUGUCAAUACUUGCUCCGGACCCCUCGAUUUUCUUUUACUCUCUCUUAAAUUAGUCUAAGUGUUUUAUAUCUCGGUUAUAAUCUACAACACUAGCAAACAUAAAUGUAUGCAAUGUUUUACAAUUCAAUAGUUAAAUAAAGAUGUUAUAUCAAUUCAUGCUUCAAUUCAUCUCUCAACACAUAGACCUGGCCUAAAGGAAAGAGCCGUUUAUACGUUGACUGCUUCAAAUGUUGUGUUGGUCCUACUACAGAAUGAUUUAUUGCUUUUUUU